UCAGUCGUGGCCAAGUAGUUAAGGCGAUGGACUAGACAUCCUUUGGGGUCUCCCCGCACAGGUUCGAAUCCUGUUGACUGCG
rfam:Ixodes scapularis strain Wikel colony gcontig_1108378945452, whole genome shotgun sequence.